rnacentral:rRNA from 1 species
UACGUAGGGGGCAAGCGUUGUCCGGAAUCAUUGGGCGUAAAGAGCGUGUAGGCGGCCAGACAGGUCAGCUGUGAAAACUCGAGGCUCAACCUCGAGACGUCGGUUGAAACCGUCUGGCUAGAGUCCGGAAGAGGAGAGUGGAAUUCCCGGUGUAGCGGUGAAAUGCGCAGAUAUCGGGAAGAACACCCGUGGCGAAGGCGGCUCUCUGGGACGGUACUGACGCUGAGACGCGAAAGCGUGGGGAGCGAACAGG